rnacentral:rRNA from 1 species
AGAGUUUGAUCAUGGCUCAGGAUGAACGCUAGCUACAGGCUUAACACAUGCAAGUCGAGGGGCAGCAUGUUGGUUGCUUGCAACCAACGAUGGCGACCGGCGCACGGGUGAGUAACGCGUAUCCAACCUACCCUUGUCCAUCGGAUAACCCGUCGAAAGGCGGCCUAACACGAUAUGCGGUUCACAGCAGGCAUCUAACGUGAACGAAAUGUGAAGGAGAAGGAUGGGGAUGCGUCUGAUUAGCUUGGUUGGCGGGGUAACGGCCACCAAGGCUACGAUCAGUAGGGGUUCUGGAGAGGAAGGUCCCCCACAUUGGAACUGAGACCACGGUCCAAACUCCUACGGGAGGCA